rnacentral:rRNA from 1 species
AUUGAACGCUGGCGGCAUGCCUUACACAUGCAAGUCGAACGGCAGCACGGGAGCAAUCCUGGUGGCGAGUGGCGAACGGGUGAGUAAUAUAUCGGAACGUGCCCAGUAGUGGGGGAUAACUGCUCGAAAGAGCAGCUAAUACCGCAUACGACCUGAGGGUGAAAGGGGGGGAUCGCAAGACCUCUCGCUAUUGGAGCGGCCGAUAUCAGAUUAGCUAGUUGGUGGGGUAAAGGCCUACCAAGGCAACGAUCUGUAGUUGGUCUGAGAGGACGACCAGCCACACUGGGACUGAGACACGGCCCAGACUCCUACGGGAGGCAGCAGUGGGGAAUUUUGGACAAUGGGCGCAAGCCUGAUCCAGCAAUGCCGCGUGCAGGAAGAAGGCCUUUGGGUUGUAAACUGCUUUUGUCAGGGAAGAAAUCCUCUAGGUUAAUACCCUUGGGGGGAUGACGGUACCUGAAGAAUAAGCACCGGCUAACUACGUGCCAGCAGCCGCGGU